rnacentral:rRNA from 1 species
AGAUUUUAAUGAUCGAACAGAUCAAAAUUUUAAACUUUUGCAUUUAAAUUUUAUCUUAAUCCAACAUCGAGGUCGCAAACUUUUUUUUUUAUUUGAGCUAAAAAAAAAUAUUACGCUGUUAUCCCUAAGGUAAUUUUUUCUUAUAAUCAUUAUUAAUGGAUCAUUUAAUCAUUUAUUUAUGUUUAAUUUUUAAAAAAAGUUAAUUUAAUUUUUCUAUCACCCCAAUAUAAUAAUUAAUUUUAUUUCAAUAAAAAUUUUUAUAUAAUUUUAAAAUAAAAAUAAAUAUAAAACUCUAUAGGGUCUUCUCGUCUUUUAAAAUUAAUUUAGCUUUUUAACUAAAAAAUAAACUUCUAAAAAUAAAUAAGAGACAGUUUAUAUUUCAUCAAAUCUUUCAUACAAGUUUUCAAUUAAAAAACUAGUGAUUAUGCUACCUUUGUACAGUCAUUAUACUGCAGCCCUUUAAUUAUUAUCAGUGGGCAGAUUAGACCUUAAAUUAUAUUCAAAA